CAGGCCUAACACAUGCAAGUCGAACGCUAUCGCAAGAUAGAGUGGCGCACGGGUGAGUAACACGUGGGAAUCUGCCCUUCUCUGCGGGACAACAGUUGGAAACGACUGCUAAUACCGCAUACGCCCUUCGGGGGAAAGGUCCGCCGGAGAAGGAGGAGCCCGCGUCUGAUUAGCUUGUUGGUGGGGUAAAGGCCUACCAAGGCGACGAUCAGUAGCUGGUCUGAGAGGAUGAUCAGCCACACUGGGACUGAGACACGGCCCAGACUCCUACGGGAGGCAGCAGUGGGGAAUAUUGGACAAUGGAGGCAACUCUGAUCCAGCAAUGCCGCGUGUGUGAUGAAGGCCCUAGGGUUGUAAAGCACUUUCAUUGGUGAAGAUGAUGACGGUAACCAAAGAAGGAGCCCCGGCUAACUUCGUGCCAGCAGCCGCGGUAAUACGAAGGGGGCGAGCGUUGUUCGGAAUUACUGGGCGUAAAGGGAGCGCAGGCGGUUCAUUUAGUUAGGCGUGAAAGCCCCGGGCUCAACCUGGGAACUGCGCUUAAUACUGAUGAGCUAGAAAACAGAAGAGGAUAGUGGAAUUCCCAGUGUAGAGGUGAAAUUCGUAGAUAUUGGGAAGAACACCGGUGGCGAAAGCGGCUAUCUGGUCUGAU
rnacentral:rRNA from 1 species